UACGUAGGGGGCAAGCGUUGUCCGGAUUUAUUGGGCGUAAAGAGCGUGUAGGCGGCUUUACAGGUCCGUUGUGAAAACUCGAGGCUCAACCUCGAGACGCCGGUGGAAACCGUAAAGCUAGAGUCCGGAAGAGGAGAGUGGAAUUCCUGGUGUAGCGGUGAAAUGCGCAGAUAUUAGGAGGAACACCCGUGGCGAAAGCGGCUCUCUGGGACGGUACUGACGCUGAGACGCGAAAGCGUGGGGAGCAAACAGG
rnacentral:rRNA from 1 species